rnacentral:lncRNA from 1 species
CUUUCCUUGAUGCCUCCUCACUGGGGAUCAGAUUUUGCUGAUAACCAAAGAAGUCAAUAGGUUCUUUUUGAUGUCAUACUCUUAGACAAAUAUGAAGAGUGGAGAUAAGCCCUUUUCUAAUGUGCGUAUCUAGAAACUCUUCUAAUUUGUAAAGAAUGGCUGUACUGGAGGUUAUGAAAAAAUCUCAAGGUACAUCCAGUCUAUCCAUGGCAGCAGUUGUCUUCAAUAUGGAGGAAGAGAGUCACUCAGUCACAUUGGAAACACUGCAACACUGGCAUCUAGGUACGGACUCAUUCCAUGAUAGGCAAACAGAAUAAAGAAAAGGACUGUAGUAUGUACAUCCUGACUAGAAAUAAAAUAACGAUGCUAUUAAGAAAGAUUGCCGAAGUUAAAAUUGGCAUUUGUGUAACUCAAGCCUACUAUGAUUUGGGGGCAAACCCAAGGGGCUAAAGAAGCAUUGGAAUCAGAAAAGGAAGAUUCUAAGAAGACCCUACGUCUUUAAACUUGCAGUAUUGGAGAGCUAAGCAGUGAGAAUGACUGAAAUGGCCUAUUAAAUUAUGUUAACUCUAUGUAGAUGACAGACUUCUGGAAAAUACAGGAAGAGCAAAGUAUAUGAGUUAGGCUAUGAAAGGACACUGAAAAGAAAUUCAAGUUGACGAAACUGUCCAUUUGCUUGCAUAUUGGAAAACAUAGAACUUUAUUUUGGAGACAGUAGUUUCCUGGAGAAUUUCC